UGCGCGCGAAUAAAUGAUGGUUUCUUUUAAAAUUGCUCCGACGAGAUGUACGAUUAUACAACGAUUCGACCUUCGAAGCUCUGGUGGCUUUCGAUAUCGUAAACAGAGAAGCCAUGACUUGAGGAAGUGGAUACAAAGUAUGCUUCAUUUCUUCCAAUCUAUCAACAGUAAAAAAUGAGGUGGAGGUGCAAUUAGCACCAGUUUUUUCCGCUCAGGAAGAUCAAAUGAAACUUUACCAGAAGGCACUAUGAGGAUAGCCAGCUCCGAUUCAUACAGACGUCGUUGAAGGCGGUUUCUUAUUUCGGCCAAGCCUGCAAGCACUUCUUCAUGACUGCUCU